UAAGGAAUAUUGGUCAAUGGACGCAAGUCUGAACCAGCCAUGCCGCGUGCAGGAGGACGGCCCUAUGGGUUGUAAACUGCUUUUAUACGGGAACAAACGUCGGUACGAGUACCGGUCUGAGUGUACCGUAAGAAUAAGGAUCGGCUAACUCCGUGCCAGCAGCCGCGGUAAUACGGAGGAUCUGAGCGUUAUCCGGAUUUAUUGGGUUUAAAGGGUGCGUAGGCGGCGUGCUAAGUCAGUGGUGAAAGACGGUGGCUCAACCAUCGCAGUGCCGUUGAUACUGGCGCGCUUGAAUUCGGAUGAGGUAGGCGGAAUGUGGCAAGUAGCGGUGAAAUGCAUAGAUAUGCCACAGAACACCGAUCGCGAAGGCAGCUUACCAAGGCGAUAUUGACGCUGAUGCACGAAAGCGUGGGGGAUCGAACAGGAUUAGAUACCC
rnacentral:rRNA from 1 species